UUAAGUUCAGCGGGUAUCCCUACCUGAUCCGAGGUCAAACUGAGGAGGUGGGGGUUGGUGGCCAGCGACCGCCGGGUCCCUAUAGCGAGGAUGUUUACUGCGCUCAGGGCCUCGACGGCACCGCCACUGGUUUUAGGGCCCGCCGGGUCGGCGGCGGAGCCCAACACCAAGCAUUGCUUGAGGGUUGUAAUGACGCUCGA
rnacentral:misc_RNA from 1 species